rnacentral:miRNA from 1 species
AUCACUGGAUAGCUUUCCUAGA